rnacentral:rRNA from 1 species
AGCGAACGCUGGCGGCAGGCUUAACACAUGCAAGUCGAACGGGCGUAGCAAUACGUCAGUGGCAGACGGGUGAGUAACGCGUGGGAACGUACCUUUUGGUUCGGAACAACCCAGGGAAACUUGGGCUAAUACCGGAUAAGCCCUUACGGGGAAAGAUUUAUCGCCGAAAGAUCGGCCCGCGUCUGAUUAGCUAGUUGGUGUGGUAACGGCGCACCAAGGCGACGAUCAGUAGCUGGUCUGAGAGGAUGAUCAGCC